GAUGAACGCUGGCGGCGUGCCUAAUACAUGCAAGUCGAGCGAACAGAUGAGGAGCUUGCUCCUCUGACGUUAGCGGCGGACGGGUGAGUAGCACGUGGAUAACCUACCUAUAAGACUGGGAUAACUUCGGGAAACCGGAGCUAAUACCGGAUAAUAUAUUGAACCGCAUGGUUCAAUGGUGAAAGACGGUUUUGCUGUCACUUAGAGAUGGAUCCGCGCCGCAUUAGCUAGUUGGUAAGGUAACGGCUUACCAAGGCAACGAUGCGUAGCCGACCUGAGAGGGUGAUCGGCCACACUGGAACUGAGACACGGUCCAGACUCCUACGGGAGGCGGCAGUAGGGAAUCUUCCGCAAUGGGCGAAAGCCUGACGGAGCAACGCCGCGUGAGUGAUGAAGGUCUUCGGAUCGUAAAACUCUGUUAUUAGGGAAGAACAAAUGUGUAAGUAACUAUGCACGUCUUGACGGUACCUAAUCAGAAAGCCACGGCUAACUACGUG
rnacentral:rRNA from 1 species